CUGAGCAUUUGUUCUUUCCUAGAUCCUAAAUAAUUCAGCUUGUUAACUGGCAGUGCUCUCUUGGGGUAUAGAGUGAUACAUUCUCUACAGAGAUUGUCCAAAUUUAUGUAAAUAAAAUGUAUUAAUUGUACAAUAACAUUUUUUCGCAUCCAAAAGUUGAAAAUCUGUCCUGCCACAUAUGCAGCUAUUUGAGCUGGACUAAAGCCCCUAUUACUUGGGACAAUUAUUGGCCACACAUGAAGAUACCGCCCUGUGUAAUAGACCCAGUGAUCAGCAGCCGAAGAAGCAAAUGCUCCUCAGUCCUUGACAUGUUUAAAUAAAAAAUCCUUGUUUGUCAGAUGCACAGCAUCCCGUGUAAUAGAGCACGUGCAGCAAAGACAGAAGUGGGCCCUGCCUGCACAAUUAUCAUGCAGUCUAGUAGGGUCUCGUAUUAUGGGAACCAGUCACCAAGUUUUACCCUAUAUCAUGAGUGGUGACACACGAUAGAAGUUAAUAUCACAUGUUCUACCAUGCUUGAUGUCUGCUGGAGAAAACAACAAUGUCACACGCAAUAUGUAAAUGAGGCUCAAGUAGUCCGUUGGGCAUGCGGCUGCUGAAGUAGUCAUGGCUCCCCAGGAUGUAAACGCACCUACACAGGCUCAAAUAAUGCCUAGGAAAUGCCGCUUCGCCGUUCACUGGCUGAAAUGGAUCACUGCCAUGGGUUGUGAGUGGGCAUUUCCUGUGUGUUCUGCAGGAAGUGUGGAUGAACAAGGACUGGGUACUCUUAGGAUGGCAGAGAAGGGGAUCUCACAGGUGGUGACUUCUGCAAAAGUAUAAAUAAAAUUAAUUUAAAUGACACAAGUAUAUUAAGUGUUCAUUCCAAUAAAAAUGGUUGACUAUAACGGACCUAUCGAAGCUUCAGUUUCUUGUCUUCCGAUGGCUACAAAAUCAUAUUCUGUUCGGAGUGUAGAAGCAUACUGAAUACUGUUAAAUGAGUUUUUAGAACUUUUAUAUUAAUGGCCCAUUCUUCAGAUAAGCCAGCAAUAUCAAAUGGGUAAAGGUCCAUCUCCCAGCACCCCCAAAGAUCGGCGAAUUGAAGGAGGUAACCGCACAGGCGAAAGCAUUACAGCCUCAUACCAGACUAUGCUCCAUGCACUCGAAAGUGGCUGUACCUGGUAUCAUCCCAUUUGCAAAGUAUGUAGUAAUGUCCUCAGCUCUCCCUAGGAGAGACUGUAGGCAACCAAAAUGUUGUGUUUAAUACCCUGAAGGUCAUCUGAAGCUCUGUAUCAGAGUUCUGGACCCGAAACAUGGUGUUAAAAAGGUGGAGAGUUACUACUCAUAGUGACCAAACUAAUUUCCCAGGACCAAAAAAUGUCUAUACAUUAUUGCUACAGAUCCCCUUUUCUAAGAUACUGCAGCCAGUGCUUAGUUGAGUGGACUAUGGGGAACAGAUUUAAGAUAGGGUCAUUAUACUCUGGUUUGCCUAGUUUAUAUAUUAAGUUGUAUUCUUUAAAUAACCAAUUUAUCACCUACCUAUUGUAUGGGUAUUAAAGAGGUAAUCAACUGGUGCCAGAAAGUUAAACAGAUUUGUAAAUUACUUGUAUAUAAAAAUCUUAAUCUUUCCAGUACAUGUCAGCUGCUAUAUGCUCCACAGGAAGUUCUUUAUUUUUGAAUUUCCUUUCU